rnacentral:rRNA from 1 species
GGCGACCGGCGCACGGUGAGUAACACGUAUCCAACCUGCCGAUAACUCGGGGAUAGCCUUUCGAAAGAAAGAUUAAUACCCGAUGGUAUAAUCAGACCGCAUGGUUUGAUUAUUAAAGAAUUUCGGUUAUCGAUGGGGAUGCGUUCCAUUAGGCAGUUGGUGAGGUAACGGCUCACCAAACCUUCGAUGGAUAGGGGUUCUGAGAGGAAGGUCCCCCACAUUGGAACUGAGACACGGUCCAA